rnacentral:rRNA from 1 species
AGUGAACGCUGGCGGUAGGCCUAACACAUGCAAGUCGAACGGCAGCACAGUAAGAGCUUGCUCUUACGGGUGGCGAGUGGCGGACGGGUGAGGAAUACAUCGGAAUCUACUUUUUCGUGGGGGAUAACGUAGGGAAACUUACGCUAAUACCGCAUACGACCUACGGGUGAAAGCAGGGGAUCUUCGGACCUUGCGCGAUUGAAUGAGCCGAUGUCGGAUUAGCUAGUUGGCGGGGUAAAGGCCCACCAAGGCGACGAUCCGUAGCUGGUCUGAGAGGAUGAUCAGCCACACUGGAACUGAGACACGGUCCAGACUCCUACGGGAGGCAGCAGUGGGGAAUAUUGGACAAUGGGCGCGAGCCUGAUCCAGCCAUACCGCGUGGGUGAAGAAGGCCUUCGGGUUGUAAAGCCCUUUUGUUGGGAAAGAAAAGCAGCAGGUUAAUACCCCGCUGUUCUGACGGUACCCAAAGAAUAAACACCGGCUAACUUCGU